rnacentral:lncRNA from 1 species
AAGCAAGUGAGCAAAUUUUCCGGAGAGCGCCAGGCUGCGGAGCGGAAGGGGUUAUUCCCACUGAGACGCAGGCGUUCGGCUCCUAGAGCGGCCGGGCGGGAGGAGCGCAGCUUCGAGCGGCAGGAGGAGCGCGCCUUCUGGGGCGGGAUUCAGGACAGGUUCGCGGAGGGAGGAUCAGACGCUGAAGUCCUCUGCCCAUUCUUGCUGUCACCGGUGAGCUUUGGGAGCCACCCCCCACCCCCGGAGGCCUUCCAUGGGUCAGCCGGAGAUGGAGAUGGACCCGGCCUCAUGUCGACAGACACUUGCUGCGUAACCAAGGCACCUACCACAGAUUGCCCACAGGCUGGGCUUCCAGACAUCGCUGUCGCGGGGUUCAUUCGUGCACCCUCGUAUCCAAACUUCAGCUGCCUUUCCCACCUGCCACUUAGCCACUUCCUGAGUUCCAGCUUCCCAGGUCUUCCUCCUCAUCACCUUGUCACUAACCAGUGUUCCUUGCAGUCUUAGCUGUUGCUACCAUUACCUCCUAUGCCACCCUUCCACAGGAGACUCCACACAGACUCUCCUACCUGUGACCACUGUGUAGUCAGUCCUUGGCUGACUUCAGAUCCAAACCCUUCAGCUUGGCAUUCAAGGCAGUUUGAAAUGUGGAUCCAGUCCCAGGCUGGCUGGUGCUAUUGAGAAAUGGAUUUCACCCCGGGGCAGUCAAAGAGGGAACCAAUCUCAACGUUUGUCACCAUCUUUUUUUUUUUUUAAAGAUUUAUUUAUUUAUAUGUAAGUACACUGUCGCUGUCUUCAGACACACCAGAAGAGGGCAUCAGAUCUCAUUACAGAUGGUUGUGAGACAUUUGUCACCAUCUUAACAAAGAAUAGGCCGACUGAAAUAUUGACCUAGCAGACAACUUCAGAACAUUCCAGCAAGUACUGCAGAGCACACAUUCUUCUCAGUAGCCCCCGGGACUUUCUCUAAAAUAAAUUACUGUUAGGAUGCA